rnacentral:rRNA from 1 species
UGGGCAACCUGCCCCUCUCUCUGGGAUAACCCCGGGGAAACCGGAGCUAAUACCGGAUACUCCGGCUGGAUCGCAUGGUCCGGCCGGGAAAGGUCCGCCGGAGAGGGAUGGGCCCGCGGCCUAUCAGCUUGUUGGUGGGGUAACGGCCUACCAAGGCAAAGAUGGUUAGCUGGUCUGAGAGGACGAUAAGCCACACUGGGACUGAGACACGGCCCAGACUCCUACGGGAGGCA